AUAUAAAUGUCAUAUUGUUUGAACGGGGUUCGUUUUAUUUUUUUUGUUUAAUUUUCUGUAUAUUUUUUGUUGUAUGUUGAAUUGUUGAUGUGGGUUUUGACGUUUUGUUUAACUUUCCUUGUUUAUUUUCUGUUUAUUUUCUUGCUAAAAUUUCUGUUUAUUUUUUUGUUGUAGGUUGAACACUUGAACCUCGUGCUCACCGCCAUUGGAGAUCUUCUGUAUUUUACUUUUGGUACAGUCACAGGAAUCAACUGGUGUGCUUCAUGCAUUACCAAACUGGUGGAGCAUGGGAUCCUUAAUUCCUUAUGAUGUGAAUUCUGUUACAUUAAUUAGUGAAUCAACAAUCCAGCUUUGGGAUUUACGGACUUUGAACAUUUCUUUGUUUUGUAAUGUGACAAUUAGUAUGCAAGUUCUCUAAAAUUUCCUUAUAUUGCAAUAUGUUAUAAUUAGUUGGACUUCAGGUUUUUUUUAGUCACUUUGUGAGUUUGUUCACAGGUUAUUCAAAAUUUCAAAUCAGUCACUUUGGUUUGUUCAGGUUGUAUAAUUACUUAAGUUAUUCAGGUUAUUUAAUUUUGGAAUUUGUUCAGGUUGUAUAAUAGCAAAAUAACUAAAAUAUGCA